CGCGUGCGAAAGCAACACAGGACAGAGACGUGAUACCACAAGUAAACAGACACCAAUGUAUGAGACAAUCAGUACAUUCUAGAGAGACAUGACAAGCAUUUCAUACAAACAGACGUUUAACGGGAAAUGUAGCAAGUAGCACACAUUAUCAAACAUAGACGAUUGUAACAAUUUAGAUGAUGGCCAUGUAAACUACUUGCCACAUGUAGCCACGUAUUUGACAAAGUGUCCGGUUAAGAAAGUCCCUCAAAAAGCUGCUCCGCUGUAAGACGUGCACGUGAGACUCGCUCUCAUGUUUCAUGUGGAUUAAGACCUCGAGUCUUUUUUAUCGUAGCGCUUACUUGUGUGUGUGUGUGUGCGCUCGCGCGUGUGGUUGCGUGGCUGGCCCCUUAUAUCAGGUCUUACUGGGGUUGCAUCUGGGUACUAACCUUGUGAUCACAGAGUGCAUCCAAUCGACCUUUUUACAUUUUCUGUCUCCACUCCCCGUCAGGCUUUCCUUUGACGAUUUGCUCUUGUACGCUGGUAACUACACCUCCGGGGCAUUAAUAACUAGCUUUACAAAUAAGCUACAAAAGUAACACGUGUGUGCCCGAAAUCGAAGUGACCAAGGACUGCGAUAAUAAAGAGAGGCAAAAAUGAAGCCAAUCACCUACGCCGGCUGUUGAAACUGUUGAUUUUGGUUUGGUUUUUUGGGUUUUUUAUUCUUUUUCAGCGAGAAGAAUGGCCGACACAAGUUGACACCAUCAUCACAAGGGUCGUCACCGAACUGUCGUUGAUGGUGGUAGUGGUGUUGUCGGGACAGGACAUCAUACACCAAGUUCUCACGUAUUAUUCACGUAAUAUAAAUUUAUAGCUAUGAAAGAAGGUCCUUUAGAAAGAAUUUUAAAUCUAGUCGCUUCACAUGGCAGUCACAAGUUGGCUAAAAACCACACGUACAGUCGCCCCCAGGCAGGGAAGAUCGACUAUAGAUAUAACAUACAGCAGGGAUGAUUCACCCAGAAUCUACACAGUGACUGUCACUGCGCAUGUCUGUCCUCUCUACCUUCACCAAUGUGUCUCCCCUAACACUUCAAACUCACAUGUUUUAUACUAUAACAGCCGAACAUUCUACAGACCAAGUCUUUCCCACAUUCUACUUACACUAGCACUUACUCUUACGCCUUGCAUAGAAAGGUUUAAAAUUCACUGCUUCUUGAUUUCAAGCAUAGAUAGAAACUCAAAUUUCAGUGAAAGCAAUAGCAAGAAAAAUGAUGGUUAAGUUUGUGAAAACUCCUUUCGACUUUUCUGAGGUCUGUUUUUUUUUUUCUUAGUUACUUUUAAUAAAGUUUUCUGUUUUAUCAAAUCUAGGGGGUGGCAAACGACCGUUCUAUAGCAUCCAUGGCAGCUGCAGGUGGGAUCCAAAAUUCUUUCUAAAGGAUCUUUUUUUCAUAGCUACAAAUUUACAUUAUAUGAAUAAUAAUAAUAUACAUUUUAAGAGACAAGCAAGGAACGUCCAUUACGGGAUGGGUAGGACAGAUAGGAGCACGUGACGGGACAGACGCGGAUGCUUCUCGUCAGCUGCCGGCGCCGUGUGCGGUGACUCAUAGGACAGUCAGGCAGGAUGGCCGUCUAUAGGUCGCACAGGUGUCAACAAAACACACAGAGUCUUCUGGUCUCUGCUCUGCACUCGCCUCAUAACGGACAUAAAUCUCUGGUCUGCUUGAAGAUAAACAUUCCCUUGUGUGAACUUCUAGAACGAGGCUAAAGCACAAAUUCGCUUCCGGAUUAGAUAUCAACACCAAGAAGAAGAGUAGAGGAAAUGUUGAUGGAGGGGCCAAAAGAAGUCGUCUACCCCGGGGAUCGUGCUGGGUGGCGGCGACCCUGCUCCUCAGUUACGUUAUAACCGUUUUGUCAGAGUGGAUAAAACAUUCUUUUCAUAAAGUUAACUUCUAUAGUACGGGACUUGAUGGCUUCGCUAUGAUUCCACAACGGAAGACACCAAAGAGAUUCUCUUGACCCAUGACCCCUUCGCUGUAAUUUCACGAAAUCCCUAGAUAACCAGUGGGUGUGAAAGAUAACAGUGUGUAGUAGCUGUUUUCCAACAAACUCUAUAACUCAUAGAGAGGAAAAAAUCUGUGUUACUUGCAGCACUUGUUGAAUUACUUGAGGCGUUGAUUACUGAAGUAGGGAAGUUUAAUUAUCACAGUUCUGAAUUCCCCACGGGGAGAUUUAUGCUUAUUGAAUAUCCUCCUUGAAUGUUUAGACAGUGUUAUCUUUUGUGUGUGUGUGUGUGUGUGUGUUUACAAUUUACAUGUUCAAGAAAGCACAUCUAGGUCUGUCAUUCUGUUUUACUGAAAUUGAAAUAAAACGACGUCUGGGCAGAUGUAAAAGAGAUGAAGAAAUAAAUAAUAAUAAUUAACAUUAUUAAACGUAACAGUACUGAGACGAUGUGCCCACAACAAACAUACACUUACAGUAAACAGACAAUAUACAAAACUGAACUGAACUGAAAUGUUGGAGCUACAUUCUGUGUGGCACACUAACAUGAAAAAAAAUAAAAUAAAAAAAAUUACAAAAAAAUAACAACAACAACAACAACAACAACAACAACAACAACAACAACAACAACAAAACACAACCUUUUCCACAAACAUCGCAUGCAAACAUUACAUGUACACACUGUUUGUUACAGGUUAGUUUUUUGUCCAGUAUCCCAGUGCAUUCAAAAUAUUAUCUGCCUCGAAGUUACACCUCGAUAAUAUUCAUCGAUUGUAACAGGAUGCAAUCAUCACAGGCCUCAUAAAAAACCGAACCCUCUGGUCGUAUUAAAGUGAUAAAGUGUUCUUCCUGCUCCCUGCUACUUUUUUUUCUUAACUUAUUGCAGUUAAAAAGUGAGCUUGAUAGCCCGCUAUUAGGGAUCGGUUGUGAGACAGGACAGCCGGCAGAACAUCGUGUUGUACACAAGGGAGCCUCUCACCCGUAGCAACCGGUGACAUCAAAUGAAGACAAUGGACACAGCAAUUUAUAUACCACCUACCCCCAGAACCAAAGCCGGGUUCAAAGCGCUUUACCCACAUACAGGCUCACGAGUUCAUUUUUUUUUAAAGAUGAACAUCAAACGCACCUUCAUCUACAAACACGCAUGCAAAGUACACAACAAGCGGAAAACAAACAAACAAACAAACAAACCCCGGGGUGAAUGGAAAAGACAGCAACGGUUAGCCAGAGAGAGGUCAGCCGAGAUUCAGAUCCAUGACAUACAAUUAUCAUAAACGCUUUAGUAACUGUGCCAUUCAUGAUUAUUAUGAUUGUGAUUAUUAUGACUUAAUAUUAUCAUUAAAAAACACACUACUCUAUAAAUAUAUCAAAAUAUUAUAGUUAUCUACACAAAUGACAAAGUAGACAAAGGUAGAUAACAUCAGAUUUGCAA